GCGUGGGAAAUCUGCCGAGUAGCGGGGGACAACGUUUGGAAACGAACGCUAAUACCGCAUAACAAUGAGAAUCGCAUGAUUCUGAUUUAAAAGAAGCAACUGCUUCACUACUUGAUGAUCCCGCGUUGUAUUAGCUAGUUGGUAGUGUAAAGGACUACCAAGGCGAUGAUACAUAGCCGGCCUGAGAGGGUGAACGGCCACACUGGGACUGAGACACGGCCCAGACUCCUACGGGAGGCAGCAGUGGGGAAUCUUCGGCAAUGGGGGCAACCCUGACCGAGCAACGCCGCGUGAGUGAAGAAGGUUUUCGGAUCGUAAAACUCUGUUGUUAGAGAAGAACGUUAAGUAGAGUGGAAAGUUACUUAAGUGACGGUAUCUAACCAGAAAGGGACGGCUAACUACGUGCCAGCAGCCGCGGUAAUACGUAGGUCCCGAGCGUUGUCCGGAUUUAUUGGGCGUAAAGCGAGCGCAGGUGGUUCCUUAAGUCUGAUGUAAAAGGCAGUGGCUCAACCAUUGUGUGCAUUGGAAACUGGGGAACUUGAGUGCAGGAGAGGGGAGUGGAAUUCCAUGU
rnacentral:rRNA from 1 species